GGGAUCGCUAGCCAUGCGAGUCGAGAGGGUUCGGCCCUCGGCGAACUGCUCAGUAACACGUGGAUAAUUUGCCCUUAGGUGGAGGAUAACCUCGGGAAACUGAGAAUAAUACUCCAUAGAUCUAGGAUGCUGGAAUGCACUUAGAUUAAAAGCUCCGGCACCUAAGGAUAAGUCUACGGACUAUCAGGUUGUAGUCAGGGUAAAGACCUGACUAGCCUACAACGGAUACGGGUUGUGAGAGCAAUAACCCGGAGACGAUAUCUGAGACACGAUAUCGGGCCCUACGGGGCGCAGCAGGCGCGAAAUCUUCACAAUGUGCGAAAGCACGAUGAGGGGAUCCCAAGUGCUGGCACGUAAGUGUCAGCUGUUUCUUAGUCUAAAAAACUGAGAGAGUAAGGGCUGGGUAAGACGGGUGCCAGCCGCCGCGGUAAUACCUGCAGCUCAAGUGGUGGCCGCUAUUAUUGGGCCUAAAACGUCCGUAGCCUGUUUAGUAAAUGCUUGGGUAAAUUGUGUAGCUUAACUAUACGAAUACCGGGUAGACUGCUAAACUUGGGACCGGGAGAGGCUAGAGGUACUCCUGGGGUAGAGGUGAAAUUCUGUAAUCCUAGGGGGACCACCAGUGGCGAAGGCGUCUAGCUAGAACGGGUCUGACGGUGAGGGACGAAGCCCUGGGGCGCAAACCGGAUUAGAUACCCGGGUAGUCCAGGGUGUAAACGCUGCUUGCUUGAUGUUAGUUGGGCUCCGAGCCCACUAGUGUCGGAGAGA
rnacentral:rRNA from 1 species